GAACAUUAUGGAGUAUCAGGUAGUAGAGAGUGUGACUGAUAAAACAUAAGUAAAUCGGAAUUAAAAAUACAUUUAUAAUAGAGCUUAAGACCAAACUGUUGAAUACAAAUUGUGUACGAGUAACGUGUUUGCACACACGUCUGGGGCUUAGGAUGAGAUAAUUGCCAUAAAUUAUACAAUAUCGAUAAACGAUAACCAUUGACAACGGUAUCAAUAGGAGCCUUUUCAUAGGUAUACUUAGUAAGACUGGCUCUAAAGACAAACAAUACUUAUAGGCUUAGUUCUGACAGACAUUUUCUAUGUUUAGCUAUGAUAGGUACUAUUUAUCUAAUUUGAAUAGCUACCUCGGUACAUCGAACUGUCAAACUGAAGAGACUGGGCCGAUAUCCGAUACCUAUACAAAACAAAGGAACGAUUGGCGUGAUUUGAGCCGAUAUCAUGACUUUGACGAAUAAUAAUCAGAUAAUAUAAGGUAUAAAUAGAUGCCGCCAAAAAUUUCAGGACCAUAACUGUUGUAAAAUCAGUUGAUAAUACAAUUAGUGAAUUUUAUUAAUUUAUUAUUUGGAAAUAAUAUUAUAAUGCAGCGCCCAGGAUACAACCCAGGUUACGGCCCAGGAGGCAUGAACAACGGUAUGCCGAUGCAACCGGGUGCACCGGGUGGCCCCGCCAGGUUCAACAACCCGGGAGGUCCGACUUACGCCCCUGGCUACGGCCAGCCAAUGGGAGGGCCCCAGCACCCUCAGCAGAACUUCAACCCGAACGCUGGCUGCUUCAUGCCAGCAGCUACCAUCCGCAAGAUCAGUAACACGACGCCACCACGUUUUGACCCAUCCUUCCAGUAAUCGACCCGACUGAAUCUCUGCCUGUAUAUUCCAUAAUGCUAGCAUAAGUUAUUGUUAAAUUAUAUAGAUAAGUUUUAAAUAAAAUAGUUGUGCAACUA